rnacentral:lncRNA from 1 species
UUGGGGACAGAAAAAAUUUCCUUAGGCACAGUGUCACAUUUCCACUAAGGGCUAAGGCUUCAGGCUCAGGGCAGGAGCCUACGUGCCAAUGAUACUCCACCCACUCCAGGUCACUGGGGAAGUGCCAGGCAGGCCUCCAGCCAAGCUAUGCCGGGAGUCACUGCUUCCCGAAAACUCCACUCCCCUCAGCUCAGGCUUUCUCUGCCCCUGGAGAAAAGCAAAGACCUCUCUCUUCAUCCUGGAGAAAAGCAAAGGCCUCAUCUGACUCUGAGGGCAUUUUGAGAAGGACAGAGGAGGCUACAGCCCCUCCUGCAUGGGGAAAGAAGAGUGGGAGCCUCUUGUGGCCACCUCUCCCCGCGCACACCCUCUUGACCGCAUGCCCAAGGCCCCAGGACCAACGUCUGGAGCUUCUCAUCUGUGAAUCGGGGAUGACAACUGCACCCCGCCCCCCGCCACCGCAGUACCGCAGGCUUCCCACAAGACAACACAGGCACGGUGCGUGGCGUGGGGCAGCACACCUCCCAUCGGCUCCGUGAAUAAAGGUUACUUUCCUUGUUACUAGCUUGAAAUUCACUUUUUUUAAAGCAAAUACUUCACUAGAACCACGACUCUGGGACUGUAGCCCCGCUUACCUGGGCAAGCCCCCGAGGUCCAUCUCACUGCAGAUGUAGCGGCCUGGACGCAGAAUCACCCACAGCCCGAUCUCUGCGGCCAUCAGGACGAAGGCCCUAGGGAGGUCCACAUCGUCAGCCCCUCCCACGACGGCCCAGGAUGAGGCCGGGUGGGGGCCACACGCAUCACAGGGUGGAGGAGCUGCCUGGUGGGGCGAAGGGACGGCUCGGCCCCACCCCCAAAGCGUGGGGACUCCCACACCAGGUCGGUGGCCUGAGCUGCUCCCAGCCUCAGAGCCUCUGCACAGCCCCAUCGGGGGCCUGAGGAGGAAGGGUGACACCCAGGGCUCAGUGGUCUCAACAGUGAACCUGACCCCAUAGCCUUGCUAGCCUAGAGGGGCCGCCCUGCCCCAGCCCAGGCGCCAGACCCCAUGCAGAGUCGGGCGGCUCCCAGGGUCUUCUGCCCCUCUGGGCUGCAGUGGAGAGGUGGGGCCCGGAGGCUGCAGGCCCAGUCCCUCUGGGUGACAGGUCACGGUUGGGGAGCGUCUGGGUCCUGGGUGCAGGGCCUCUCACAGUCCUAGAACAGGACUCCAGACCCACGUCCCUCCCUGGUUCUCUUUGGUUGCUAAUCCACCCCCAGUAGCCACCUCUGUGCCCUGCCCCUGACCAGGGCACAGAAGCAGCAACACCACAUACUCCAGGUCCAGGUUCCCAGAGAAGUCAAAUUUGCCUCUUUCUGGCUCAUGCAGGUUCCACGGAA